rfam:Citromicrobium sp. RCC1885 contig5, whole genome shotgun sequence.
GUAACGUUACCGGGCCCCUCUGGCGAGCGCGUUUGGCGCGCUCGUGAUGUCGGAACGAGAUG